GCCGAAUUAGCUUAAUUGGUAAAGCAGUAAUCUUAUAAAUUAUCUUUUAUGGGUUCAAAUUCCGUAUCCGGCU